rnacentral:rRNA from 1 species
UACGUAGGGUGCGAGCGUUGUCCGGAAUUAUUGGGCGUAAAGGGCUCGUAGGCGGUCUGUCGCGUCAGGAGUGAAAACUCGGGGCUUAACCCCGAGCCUGCUUCUGAUACGGGCAGACUAGAGGUAUGCAGGGGAGAACGGAAUUCCAGGUGUAGCGGUGAAAUGCGUAGAUAUCUGGAGGAACACCGGUGGCGAAGGCGGGUCUCUGGGCAACAACUGACGCUGAGGAGCGAAAGCGUGGGGAGCGAACAGG